AGUUUACUAUGUUACUGCUAGAGACCCCAUGCUUGGGGUCUGUGUAUAUAAGUGGACCAUCUGGCCAUAAUAAAACAUUCCUAUUGUACCCUUCAUCAAGUCUUGACUCAUGUUUGGGUAUGCGAGCAAAGCAGCGAUUGUUUUUAACCAAGAUCUACUGGGAUUUGGGGAGAAUACGAACGAGCAUACUAUGCAAACGGGCUAUAAUCCCUUAAACCUCUAGCAUUUUGGGAGUGUGCGAACGAACAUACUUCACGAAGUGCAUGAGGUUCGUUACACUGUGGCCUAUUUUCCCCAGUUCUAUUUCAUGUUGCGUUAAUGGGAAUGAAGGGGUACACAUAGGGGCACUACACAAAUUCCCACUACUUGCACACAAGCCAUAAGACACACAAGUAUCAACUGAUUCAGGUGGAAGGGGAUUUCAAUUGCUGUUUCCCCCACCAUUAUCUUCUUGGUUUGUGCUCCGCAAGUAACACCAACCCUCAAUAGGAAGCCAGUAAC